UACGGGAGGCAGCAGUGGGGAAUUUUGGACAAUGGGCGCAAGCCUGAUCCAGCAAUGCCGCGUGUGUGAAGAAGGCCUUCGGGUUGUAAAGCACUUUUGUCCGGAAAGAAAACCUCGUGGUUAAUACCCGUGGGGGAUGACGGUACCGGAAGAAUAAGCACCGGCUAACUACGUGCCAGCAGCCGCGGUAAUACGUAGGGUGCAAGCGUUAAUCGGAAUUACUGGGCGUAAAGCGUGCGCAGGCGGUUCGCUAAGACAGAUGUGAAAUCCCCGGGCUUAACCUGGGAACUGCAUUUGUGACUGGCGGGCUAGAGUAUGGCAGAGGGGGGUAGAAUUCCACGUGUAGCAGUGAAAUGCGUAGAGAUGUGGAGGAAUACCGAUGGCGAAGGCAGCCCCCUGGGCCAAUACUGACGCUCAUGCACGAAAGCGUGGGGAGCAAACAGGAUUAGAUACCCUGGUAGUCCACGCCCUAAACGAUGUCAACUAGUUGUCGGGUCUUCAUUGACUUGGUAACGUAGCUAACGCGUGAAGUUGACCGCCUGGGGAGUACGGUCGCAAGAUUAAAACUCAAAGGAAUUGACGGGGACCCGCACAAGCGGUGGAUGAUGUGGAUUAAUUCGAUGCAACGCGAAAAACCUUACCUACCCUUGACAUGUAUGGAACCCUGCUGAGAGGUGGGGGUGCCCGAAAGGGAGCCAUAACACAGGUGCUGCA
rnacentral:rRNA from 1 species